CUUGGUUGUAAUAACUCUUUGAUAUUAGGUAAAAGUUGGUUGUAAAUUUAAUUUGAUAUUAUUUUUUUUUUUAAAAAAAUCGUCAUAGCCUCACAAUUCUCUUCCUCCCUCGUAUUUCUCGGUUUCUCCCCUUCUCCCUCCCGGUGCGACAGUGUAGCCCCCACCUAUCGCAGCCUACCCCUAUCGCAACCCGUGCUCCCAUAAGGAGUCUGCACUGAUUAUUGCUCCACCGCUGCGCUCACCAGUCCUCCGCCGAACCCACCGAUCCACGGCCAACCACCACACCUCGAUCUCCGCUGCACCGCUACGCCGUCACUUCACUAUACAGCAUUCCUCAAAAAUCCAUAUGAAGUGGGUGAUUCGUAAUGAAAGCAGUUGUUAUAACAAGCCCAUGAGGUCCAGAAGUAUUUGGAGAGUCUAAUAAUGUUGGUAUCUGAAAUUUUAGACAUCAAUAUCUCAGAAGAUUUUGAUCUGUUCAAAGGAAGCCACUAAGACAACAGACUCAAAAUAUCAUCUACAGUCUGAGCCUUUGAGGUACUACAUCCAAAAUUUUUAGUAACUCAUCUAUUUAUCAUAUGCAAAUUUAAUGUAUGUAGACAAAAUUGAUUCCACAAAGAAUCAUAUUCUAGAGAAAAGCUCCAAUUAAUUGUCAGUGAUAAGGAAUGAGCCUAAAUGGCUUGCAAAUUAACCAGGUCCUGCUUGAGAAUGUAAUGAAUCGAGCAUAACUAUGCCCUGUCCUAAAGGCUUAAACAUGCUUCAAACAUUGCUUACAAUUCUAAUUUUUCACAUAAAUAUUGACCCAUUGUACAAUUUUUUUGAGGAUAAGUGCUAGGAGCAAUUAAAAGUGGCUCGAGACUUGGGAGGAGUGUUAUAAAAUGCGUUGAGCAGAAACAAGCUACCCAACUCCUUAGAAGCCAAUAGCUUGAAGCAAGCAUGAAUUGUCAUUAGAUAGAUUCACCUCUGGUACAUAAUACAACAUCAGAAUUUAGCAACUUCUUGGAAAUUGAAGACCGUACAUAAUUUAUUCAAAUCACAGCAAUAUAUUGUGAAAGAGAGAGAUAUGCUAAUAGUUUCACCUGCAUAGGGUUCUAAAGAGGAUAUGAUCUAGCUCUAGCAUCUAUUACAGCUGUCCAAACUAUAAUUAGUUAACAGCUAUUAGGAUCUCCCUUUUUAGCACAAAAACUACCGUACAACAGGACCAAAAAAUCAACAUAGAAGAAAACUAUACAAACUUGAAACCAAUUUGAUAUGGGUUAUUAGGAUCUCCUUUUUUAGCACAAACCUGAUCCGGACCGGGACCGGAAACCUUGAAUUUCAAGGACCAAGACCGGACCUGAAUCUACAGGUCUGGUCCCAACGGGUCCGGUUCAGGUCGGUUUUCAGGUCCGGUCCUGUUUAUGUACACCCCUAAUGAUUGGUGCAAUGGAAUAAUUAGUAAUUCUAAAGAUGAAAUGUAUUUAGAGCUGGCCAAAAUUGCCUCCGAAAGAUUUGAUUUUACCUGUGCUAAAGUUUCUUGUAUCACAUUUUGAACCAUGUGGAUCCUAGUAGGAAAUUGUCAUAACUAGAUUUGCAUUUAGCGAACAACUUUAUACAACAUAGGUUUUAAUUAAUUCAUUAUUACUUGUCUUUAUUCAUUAAAUAAAGAAAUAUAUCUCAUGAAACUAACUAAAAAGAUUGUGUGGGCAUAUUUGCUAUGGAUCAAAAUCACAAAGUUACUUUAAGUGCAAUUGCAAGAUAAUCAGAAUGUGACUAUAUCCUCUUAAUCUAGUAUACUUUUAGUUCAUUUUUGCACAGAAAUCUAUAAUUCCUUAUUUUUGUUUACUCAUUCCCUACCCAAGAAAUUGUUAUUGGCCAGACUGCUUAUACUGCUCGCUAAUUCUUGCAGGUAUUUCCCUCAAUUUCUACUUUUUUAUUUCUUCAAUUUCAUAAAUUAGUGUUUUUUCUCGCCACAAUGCUCGAUUUGAUGAUCGCUGCACAAUUAAUUAUGUAUUCGGUAAAUUUUGUUUGGGAAGCGCAAAAUUGAUUUAGAAUAAUGGCAGCUUAGAAACUUCCACCCCAUCUUUUAAGCAACCGUAGUAAACAGCUGCAAAUCCACCUAUUCCUAGUUCUCUCUAAAAACCUUUUGUAAGGUUUGUAAGGCUAAGCUGGUUAUUGGUUGUGCAACACAGAAGCUUGUGGUGUGAUUUUUGUAAGUUAGUGAUUUAGUGUUGUGUAACAGAGAAGCUCUGACUCUAUUUUGCAGGUUGAAUUUAAUUGAGGUUUAAUAUUAUAGUGGCAGUUGAAUACCUAUGAGCUGUUGAAUAUUUAGAGGGCCAUUCUUAAUUUCAUCGGGACCCAAAUUACAUUUAGUUUACUGUUGUAUUACCCUUUUACUAAGAAUAUGUUAGAAAUUAAUCUAGAUUGCGUUUGUGUGUAGUCAGGUGCUCUUUCUGUGCUUAGAUAUUUGAAUUUGCAGUCACUUAGGUGCGCUUUUGCUCUUUCUGUGCUUAGGUAUUUGAAUUUGCAGUCAGUCAGGUGCUUUUUCUUUUUUCCUGACUCUCUCUCAUUUUUUCUUUUUUUCUGCUUAAAUUCGUGGAAAAAAAAAUUAAGGCCUUGGAAUCUUAUGGUGGUUGGUCUGUAUGUCGUAGUUCUGAAUCCUAUGAUUACCAAACUUAAUGCCUGCAAUACCCUUUCUACUAAGAUUAUGGAAGAAAUUAAUAAUCUAGACUUUGUUUUAUGUGAAGUCAGGUGAUCGGGUGCUCUUUUUCUACUCAGGUGCUCAGGUACUUGAAUCUGCAAUCAGGUGGGAUCAUAAUUGUCUGCCUAACUAAGGUAUUAAGCUCUUAAACCCGUAUCCUAAUCAAUGAAAGUGCCCAGUACAGGUCCUAUGACAUGCAUAAGUCUACACAACAAAGGUUUAUGCAUUUGGCAGAUUGUGCUGAUGAUGAUAUAGCCUCGAAGAAUUUGGCGCAGACAGUAGCUAAAAAAUUGGUUCUGCUAUAGAUUGUGAUGAUGAUAUAGCCUGAUUAUCCUCUGAGUCAAAGCUUGUUUUUCCAAGUCUAUAUCAUUUUAGCAUGUUACUUUGGCAUCCGUUUAAUAAGUAUCCACUAAAACAUGUUACUAAGGCAUCCGUUUAAUAAGUAUUCAUUUCAUGAAAAGCAGUAAAUGAAAUUGAAUUCAUUAUGACGCAUAUAAGGUUUCAAACUUUGGUCACUUGAUUAAUUUCCUUACAAUAUUUUAUGUUUGAUUUUAUUCAGCUUUUUUUUAACGUUGGACUCACUAAAGAACUCGAUAUUGGUCAAAUUCACAAUAUCACUGCCUUAUGUUUAUACACCCACAUAUCUUUCUAUUGGCUGUUUAUACAAGUCCCUAGCACAUUUUCAAAUAAGUUUUAUUUUUUUAUUUUUUUUUUAUUUUUUUUUUUGCUCUAUGCCGUAUAUAAAUGGAUCAUUAUUCUACUCUCACAAACAAUAUUUUGGACCUACCGUUAUCUUCUCUCAUCAAUAUUAAACAACCAAAAAUUAAUAAAGUGAGCAUACAUCAUGGGGAAAAAGGGUAGGGGGGAGUAUUAUUAUUGAGUAGAUGCUGUAUGUACAUUUAUAGAUUCAACAACUCUAAACAAAACAGAAGAUGAAAAGGAAUAGAGAAUUAGAGAUAAGCUAAUAGGAGUAUUAGUAUUACAGAUUACUUCUCAUUUUUGCUUGGGCCUAUGCGGGGUUAUCUGAAUUAAUAUCUGAUGUAUGUCAUACUUGAGCCCUACCAGAGUUUUAGUGGAUACUUAUUAAACAGAUGCCCAUGUGUUACUUGGGCAUCAUGAUUGUGAUUGUGAUAUAGACUUUGGCAGAGACAGUAGCUGAAAUGCAUAGAAGAAUUUGGUAGAAGUAGUAGCUAAAAAACUAGUUUGUGAUAGUUUUAUUUAUGUCUUUUCUGGAGUUUGUGUGACCUACAGGUACAACCUACUGGAUGGGUGCCAUCAAGGAAAGUACUUUUGAUUGUGUGAGAUUACUAAGGCUUCCUUCAGUUGGAGCCUACUGGAUGUCUGCUGCUCUUAGUGUUGUGCGCUGCUUUCAUUGCUGUCUGCUGCUACUGUUAGUUGCUGGUCUGGUCUGCUGAUGCGCGUUGCUUUCACUGCUGCCUGCUACAAUCUUUUGUUACUGCUAGCUAUUGCAAUCAUUUGUUACUGCUAGCGGUCUAGUCUAGAGACCGAAGUUCAUGACUUUCUUUUUGUUUUGUUUAUUAGAUUACUUAGCCAAACAAAAAAAAAAAAUGGUGUUGAUUAGAUUUUUUUGUAAGAAACUAUUAAAUUCUAUCAAUUCAAAUUAUUGCUGUUUCUUGGAUUUU